UACGUAGGGUGCGAGCGUUAAUCGGAAUUACUGGGCGUAAAGCGUGCGCAGGCGGUUUUGUAAGUCAGCUGUGAAAUACCUGGGCUUAACCUGGGAAUGGCAGUUGAGACUGCAAGGCUAGAGUGUGUCAGAGGGGGGUAGAAUUCCACGUGUAGCAGUGAAAUGCGUAGAGAUGUGGAGGAACACCGAUGGCGAAGGCAGCCCCCUGGGAUAACACUGACGCUCAUGCACGAAAGCGUGGGGAGCAAACAGG
rnacentral:rRNA from 1 species